rnacentral:lncRNA from 1 species
AGCACAAGGCCUACGCGAGCGGUCGCACGUGUGCUUAAACCUUUUCAAAAUAUUUUUAAUUUUUGUAAAAGAAAAGGAAAAGAUUUUUAGCACAAGGCCUACGCGAGCGGUCGCACGUGUGCUUAAACCUUUUCAAAAUAUUUUUAAUUGAUUUUUUAAUUUUGGUAAAAGAAAAGGAAGAGAUCUUUAGCACAAGGCCUACGCGAGCGGUCGCACGUGUGCUCAAAUCUCUCCAAAAUAUUUUUUAAUGAUUUUAAUUUUUAUGAUUUUUAUAUUUUUAUUUUUAUUAGCAAAGGGAUAUAACAACACACAAUAACAAUAAAAAAAAACCAAAGCUAAAGAAAUAAAAAAACAAAGACAACAAUAAAAACAUUACAAUCCAAGCCCAGUAAGAAAUAGGGGUGUAGAGAUUAAAAACCGGGGUGCUGAAGAAACUCAUUGGCCCAUGACCAAAGGUAGGGGUGCAGCUGUGAAUAUUGGGGGUGGCACGUAGUAGCUGAUGGUCAGGCCCAAGACCUCCUUUUCAACUUUUAAUCUGACAGGGGUGCAAGGCUGAAAGUGGGGGUGCUGGAAACAAAAUGGAUUCAAUGCCCAAACCCUUUUUUGUUUGCAGCAAUGGAACGGGAGUGUGAACAGGAACAACGUGGUGACAGGCAGAGAAAAUGGGAUUGCAGCCCAAAGACCAAGCCCAAGGCUUUUAUUUUGUUUGCAGAACUGGCAAGGGAGUGCGAAUUGGAGAGCAGUGGUGGUGGGCAGAAAGCAUGCGGCCCAGAGCCUGGCCCAAAUUAUCUUAACCUAACAGAAGUUAGGGGUUUCCAAAUUUCAUUUCAUUUGUGCAAAGGAUAGCUUCCAGACCCAGGGUCUUCUUCAUCCAGUAGAGAAACUCUACCUCGUCGGCAGCCGCACCGCCUCCCACCACCAACCGGCCGGCUCGAACCACGGCCCAGGGCGUCGCACUCUGCUAUUCGCCGCUGCUCACCGCCGGUGGGCAUCAACGGCCACAACGUCGAGAUCCCCUUUUCCGCCACCCAUCUCUCGAGAGAGAGAUCGUCUCCUUCGUGUACCGCUGCCACAAGCCAACCAAACCCUCGCCGACGUCGCCGCUUGCAACUGGGGCCAUCGCCGGCCACCGUGAGGAUUCUCCCCUCCCUUUCCCUCACGCGAGAGACCUUCUAGUUCNUGAGCGACGCCGGCCUCCUGUCGCACAGGUUGCCGCUGCCACCGAGCCACUCCCUGUCGAGCCUUCCUUUUUCCAUCAUCGCGUCGUCGCCAAGGUUAAUGNCGCAACUCUGCUUCGUCUCCGAGAGCCACCACAAGUCGUCUUGUGCAACUUGUCUUAGAUUCGUCUCUGAUAUCUAUGUUUUUACUUUGCCUGUUGAGAUGAAUUCGUGUGAUGGUGAUGAAUGCGUUUCUCUGUUUUUGGAUUUGGUAUUUCGGUGAUGGAGGAGGUUAAUCUGCAAUGGAUGAUGAUGGUAAGUUGUUUGUGUGAUGGAUGAAUCUGAGGUGUGCGUGAUGGAGGAAACUGGUUCCAGCGGGGUGAUUCCGUUGAGUUUACAGCAUUAUUGAACGUGAAUGAAGAGUUUUGUAUAUCUGACUGGUCGUGCUCAAUGGUGUUGUUUAUGGGUAUAAUGAUGAGUAAAGAAAAGAGGUGCUGCCCAGAGAUUAUGGAGGCCUCCCCUGAAGAUUGUGGCAGGUUGGGAUCAUGAGGUUUUGUGGGAAUGAAGAUAGAUGAAAAAAAAUGGAAUCUGUUGGAGGUGAAGAGAAGAAUUGAUCAAUGGUGAGUGAUGGGAUCAAAUUUUGUUGGAGUCAUCAGGUUUUCUAACAGAAUGGUGGUCUGUGUGCGUGUUCGGAUGGAGAGGAAAAGAUUGUGUGUAGUUAGUNUGUUGGGUGAUCCUCGUGAGGGUGAGAUGAAAUUGGAUCCCCAAAAUCAAUUCCUUGUAACCAAUUUUUUACCAAUGCCCUCUUCCCAAUCUGCCAACCAACUCUUUUCUUUUUU